rnacentral:lncRNA from 1 species
AUAGGGUGAACCAUAAUUUGUUUCCUAAUCUACAUCUAAGGGGGGAUUGGAUAUGGGUGAGUUCUAAUACUUAGUAAGAUAAAUAGAAAUAACGCAACACAAAUACAUUUUAAAAUACUCAUUAAUGCACGUUUAAUAAAAAAUUAUUUCAAUUAACAAAUUCAAAUCAAAAGUUAUCGCCAAAUAUUCAUGAAAGAAUUCUUUGUUGAAAUGUAACUUACCUUUUGAUGUAUCUGUAUGAGGCUAUGAAGGGGGAUCAUGUAACAGAUGUUUUAAGAAUAUGCUCUUUUCAUGUUUAUCUUUUAUUCC